rnacentral:rRNA from 1 species
GACGAACGCUGGCGGCGUGCUUAACACAUGCAAGUCGAACGAUGAUGCCAGCUUGCUGGUGGAUUAGUGGCGAACGGGUGAGUAACACGUGAGCAACCUGCCCCUGACUUCGGGAUAACCGCGGGAAACCGUGGCUAAUACCGGAUAUGACGCGCUAUCGCAUGGUGGUGUGUGGAAAGAUUUAUCGGUUGGGGAUGGGCUCGCGGCCUAUCAGCUUGUUGGUGGGGUGAUGGCCUACCAAGGCGACGACGGGUAGCCGGCCUGAGAGGGUGACCGGCCACACUGGGACUGAGACACGGCCCAGACUCCUACGGGAGGCAGCAGUGGGGAAUAGUGCACAAUGGGCGCAAGCCUGAUGCAGCGACGCCGCGUGCGGGAUGACGGCCUUCGGGUUGUAAACCUCUUUCAGUAGGGAAGAAGGCCUUCGGGUUGACGGUACCUGCAGAAGAAGCGCCGGCUAACUACGUG